UUUGAUUUGCUUUGUUUUGUUUUGUCUUUUGAGAGACAGGGUCUUAGUAUAUAGCCCUGACUGGCCUGAGACUUAAUAUGUAGAUAUAGAUAUUAUUAGGCUCAUCUUGACCUCACAGAGAUCCUCCUGCCUCUGCCUCAGAGUGCUGGGAUUAAAUGUGUGUGUCACAAUACUCAGAGCUGAAGUUUUAAGUAUGACUAUUUCUUAAAUUAGGAAAACAUAUAUACUGACAUUAUAAAACUAACCAAUUAUGAAGUAGAACUCAAGAAGUCUGUUUUUGUUUUUUUAUUUUUAAAUUAAGUAAAAUAUUAACUAAUGUCAAUUAUUUACAUUUCAGCAGACCACUUAGUUAAAUGGUAGUUUAACCAGGUUUUUAGCCAUGGUAUGUGUGGCUCUGUUUGUUUAUUUGUUUUUAUUUGUUUGGUUGUUUUGCUACUCAAUUUAUUAUCAUCUAUUAAAUGGAGUAAACUCUAGAAACAAUUUGAGAUGAGAGGUGUACCUUGUCAAGAGCCUGAAUUGUCCUGUGCUUAGCGGGACUUAGGAUGCCUGUGCCAUUUAUUGUAUUUGGAUUGAAAAUGAAGAAUAUAAAGAUUUUUAGAUUUUUUAAAAUCUUGUAUACUGCAGUAUCAUAUAUGAUAAGACGAUUGC
rnacentral:lncRNA from 1 species